AGCGAACGCUGGCGGCAGGCCUAAGACAUGCAAGUCGAACGAACUCUUCGGAGUUAGUGGCGGACGGGUGAGUAACACGUGGGAACGUGCCUUUUGGUUCGGAAUAACUCAGGGAAACUUGUGCUAAUACCGAAUGUGCCCUUCGGGGGAAAGAUUUAUCGCCAUUAGAGCGGCCCGCGUCUGAUUAGCUAGUUGGUGAGGUAACGGCUCACCAAGGCGACGAUCAGUAGCUGGUCUGAGAGGAUGACCAGCCACACUGGGACUGAGACACGGCCCAGACUCCUACGGGAGGCAGCAGUGGGGAAUCUUGCGCAAUGGGCGAAAGCCUGACGCAGCCAUGCCGCGUGAAUGAUGAAGGUCUUAGGAUUGUAAAAUUCUUUCACCGGGGACGAUAAUGACGGUACCCGGAGAAGAAGCCCCGGCUAACUUCGUG
rnacentral:rRNA from 1 species